UACGUAGGGUGCAAGCGUUGUCCGGAAUUAUUGGGCGUAAAGAGCUCGUAGGCGGUUUGUCGCGUCUGCUGUGAAAACCUAAGGCUCAACCUUGGGCUUGCAGUGGGUACGGGCAGACUAGAGUGCGGUAGGGGGUGACUGGAAUUCCUGGUGUAGCGGUGGAAUGCGCAGAUAUCAGGAGGAACACCGAUGGCGAAGGCAGGUCACUGGGCCGCAACUGACGCUGAGGAGCGAAAGCUGGGGGAGCGAACAGG
rnacentral:rRNA from 1 species